rnacentral:rRNA from 1 species
GGGGGGGGGGGGGGGGGGGGGGGGGGGGGGGGGGGGGGGGGGCAGCGGGGGGGGGGGCGGGCUGUCGGUAGCCGGCGACCGGCGCACGGGGGAGUAACGCGGAUCGAACCUGCCGCAUACUCGGGAAUAGCCGGGCGAAAGUAAGAUGAAUGCCCGGGGUGUUCCGAGUCCCGCAUGAGGCGUUGAACAAAGAUUUAUCGGUAUGAGAUGGCGAUGCGUCCCAUUAGCUUGUUGGCGGGGUAACGGCCCACCAAGGCAUCGAUGGGUAGGGGUUCUGAGAGGAAGGUCCCCCACAUUGGAACUGAGACACGGUCCAAACUCCUACGGGAGGCAGCAGUGAGGAAUAUUGGUCAAUGGGCGGAAGCCUGAACCAGCCAAGUAGCGUGCAGGAAGACGGCCCUCCGGGUUGUAAACUGCUUUUAGUUGGGAAUAAAACGGGGCUCGUGAGCCCCCUUGCAUGUACCAGCAGAAAAAGGACCGGCUAAUUCCGUG